GACGAACCGUGCAAACGUUGUUCGGAAUCACUGGGCUUAAAGGGCGCGUAGGCGGGCCAGCCAGUCUGUGGUGAAAGCCUCCAGCUUAACUGGAGAAGUGCCGUGGAUACUGCUGGCCUCGAGGAGGAUAGGGGCAUCUGGAACGGUCGGUGGAGCGGUGAAAUGCGUUGAUAUCGACCGGAACUCCGGUGGCGAAGGCGGCUCACUGGACCGGAACUGACGCUGAGGCGCGAAAGCGUGGGGAGCAAACAGG
rnacentral:rRNA from 1 species